GGCUGUGGUGCCUCCAGCGCGCAGGGCGAUGCAGCUGCCGCCCGCGCUGCACUCCCGCCUGGCGGGGGGACCCGGGGCGGCCGAGCCGCUGCCGGUGGAGCGGGACCCCGCGGCCGGAGCCCCGCCCUUCCGCUUCGCGGCGCGCCGGGUACGCUUCCCGCGGGAGCACGAGUUCUUCGAGGAUGGGGACGUGCUGCGACACCUCUACCUUCAGGACGUGCUCACACAGGUGACAGAGGCGCCGGAGAGGCCCAGGGUGCCUGAGUUUACCUGUCAGGUGGCAGGCUGCUGCCAGGUGUUUGACAGCCUGGAGGACUAUGAGCACCACUACCACACUCUGCACAGAAACGUCUGCUCCUUCUGCAGACGGGCCUUCCCCUCAGUGCACCUGCUGGACGUCCACAUCCUGGAGUGGCAUGACUCACUGUUUCAGAUCCUGUCCGAAAGGCAGGACAUGUAUCAGUGCCUGGUGGAAGGCUGUGCAGAGAAGUUCAAGACCAGCAAAGACAGGAAAGAUCACCUGGUGAGAUGUCACCUCUACCCUGCGGACUUCCGAUUUGAUAAGCCAAAGAAAAGCAGAGGAGUCUGUCAGAACAUCCUGGGAAUCGUGUCGAAGUGUUACCAGCCCAGCCACACCCGGGGCCGCUGUACGAGCGUCCGCAGAAGCUCCGAGGGAUGACGGGGAGCAAUCAGGAGGGGAUGCCAUGGAAGUCUGCUCUGAACACGCGGCCUCCCUCCCAGAGCCUGUGGGCGAGCGGCGGACCUCCAGCCACAGAAUACCUUCUACCAUCUGUUUCGGUCAAGGUGCAUCACGAGGAUUUAAAAGCACCAAGAAAAAAAAGGGACACCAGUGACAACGUGGACGGAGAGCCACAGAACUCUGAGCUGACUCUGAGCGAGCGGUGGCCUUUCGCAGGAUGGGGCGUCAGUGUUGCACUUUCUCUCGCAUUCUGGCGCGGCCGCCCUCAGACUCAGGCCUUUGCCACCCUCCAUCUCAGCCCAGCUCCGUGUCGCUGAACAACUGUGUGACAGCAGAAGCAGUGACAGACCCACGGAUUCCCGACACAUGCUCUGGUGAAUGAAAUGGCCCGCCAUGCCACCUCCCUGUGCAGGGCCUUCCUGAGGAUGUGCCGUAUAAAUACGUAGAUAUUUGCCA